rnacentral:rRNA from 1 species
GAUGAACGCUGGCGGCGUGCCUAAUACAUGCAAGUCGAGCGAACAGACGAGGAGCUUGCUCCUCUGACGUUAGCGGCGGACGGGUGAGUAACACGUGGAUAACCUACCUAUAAGACUGGGAUAACUUCGGGAAACCGGAGCUAAUACCGGAUAAUAUAUUGAACCGCAUGGUUCAAUAGUGAAAGACGGUUUUGCUGUCACUUAUAGAUGGAUCCGCGCCGCAUUAGCUAGUUGGUAAGGUAACGGCUUACCAAGGCGACGAUGCGUAGCCGACCUGAGAGGGUGAUCGGCCACACUGGAACGGAGCCACGGCCCAGACUCCCACGGGAGGCAGCAGUAGGGAAUCUUCCGCAAGGGGCGAAAGCCUGACGGAGCAACGCCGCGGGAGUGAUGAAGGUCUUCGGAUCGUAAAACUCUGUUAUUAGGGAAGAACAAAUGUGUAAGUAACUAUGCACGUCUUGACGGUACCUAAUCAGAAAGCCACGGCGAACUACGU